GAUGAACGCUGGCGGCGUGCCUAACACAUGCAAGUCGAACGGAGCUGUUAUUAGGAAGUUUUCGGAUGGAAUAAUAAUAACUUAGUGGCGGACGGGUGAGUAACGCGUGGGUAACCUGCCUCAUACAGGGGGAUAACAGGUGGAAACGGCUGCUAAAACCGCAUGACAUUGCGAUGUCGCAUGACAAUGCAAUGAAAUAUUUAUAGGUAUGAGAUGGGCCCGCGUCUGAUUAGCUAGUUGGUGAGGUAAUGGCCCACCAAGGCGACGAUCAGUAGCCGGCUUGAGAGAGUGACCGGCCACAUUGGGACUGAGACACGGCCCAAACUCCUACGGGAGGCAGCAGUGGGGAAUAUUGCACAAUGGGGGAAACCCUGAUGCAGCGACGCCGCGUGAGUGAAGAAGUAUUUCGGUAUGUAAAGCUCUAUCAGCAGGGAAGAAAAUGACGGUACCUGACUAAGAAGCCCCGGCUAACUACGUGCCAGCAGCCGCAGUAA
rnacentral:rRNA from 1 species